rnacentral:rRNA from 1 species
AUUGAACGCUGGCGGCAGGCUAAACACAUGCAAGUCGAGCGGGGGAAGGUAGCUUGCUACCGGACCUAGCGGCGGACGGGUGAGUAAUGCUUAGGAAUCUGCCUAUUAGUGGGGGACAACAUCUCGAAAGGGAUGCUAAUACCGCAUACGUCCUACGGGAGAAAGCAGGGGAUCUUCGGACCUUGCGCUAAUAGAUGAGCCUAAGUCGGAUUAGCUAGUUGGUGGGGUAAAGGCCUACCAAGGCGACGAUCUGUAGCGGGUCUGAGAGGAUGAUCCGCCACACUGGGACUGAGACACGGCCCAGACUCCUACGGGAGGCAGCAGUGGGGAAUAUUGGACAAUGGGGGGAACCCUGAUCCAGCCACGCCGCGUGUGUGAAGAAGGCCUUAUGGUUGUAAAGCACUUUAAGCGAGGAGGAGGCUACUUUAGUUAAUACCUAGAGAUAGUGGACGUUACUCGCAGAAUAGGCACCGGCUAACUCUGUGCCAGCAGCCGCAGUAA